GUGACUGCGGCGUGCUAUACAUGCAAGUCGAGCGAAUGACGAGGAGCUUGCUCCUCUGAUUUAGCGGCGGACGGGUGAGUAACACGUGGGCAACCUGCCCUGCAGACUGGGAUAACUUCGGGAAACCGGAGCUAAUACCGGAUAAUCCAUUUUACUUCAUGGUGAAAUGUUGAAAGGCGCUUUCGCGCCACUGCAGGAUGGGCCCGCGGUGCAUUAGCUAGUUGGUGGGGUAACGGCCUACCAAGGCGACGAUGCAUAGCCGACCUGAGAGGGUGAUCGGCCACAUUGGGACUGAGACACGGCCCAAACUCCUACGGGAGGCAGCAGUAGGGAAUCUUCCACAAUGGACGAAAGUCUGAUGGAGCAACGCCGCGUGAGUGAUGAAGGUUUUCGGAUCGUAAAACUCUGUUGUAAGGGAAGAACAAGUACGUUAGGAAAUGAACGUACCUUGACGGUACCUUAUUAGAAAGCCACGGCUAACUACGUGCCAGCAGCCGCGGUAAUACGUAGGUGGCAAGCGUUGUCCGGAUUUAUUGGGCGUAAAGCGCGCGCAGGUGGUUUCUUAAGUCUGAUGUGAAAUCUCGCGGCUCAACCGCGAGCGGUCAUUGGAAACUGGGGAACUUGAGUGCAGAAGAGGAUAGUGGAAUUCCAAGUGUAGCGGUGAAAUGCGUAGAGAUUUGGAGGAACACCAGUGGCGAAGGCGACUGUCUGGUCUGUAACUGACACUGAGGCGCGAAAGCGUGGGGAGCAAACAGGAUUAGAUACCCUGGUAGUCCACGCCGUAAACGAUGAGUGCUAAGUGUUAGGGGGUUUCCGCCCCUUAGUGCUGCAGCUAACGCAUUAAGCACUCCGCCUGGGGAGUACGACCGCAAGGUUGAAACUCAAAGGAAUUGACGGGGGCCCGCACAAGCGGUGGAGCAUGUGGUUUAAUUCGAAGCAACGCGAAGAACCUUACCAGGUCUUGACAUCCCAGUGACCACUCUAGAGAUAGAGUUUUCCCUUCGGGGACAUUGGUGACAGGUGGUGCAUGGUUGUCGUCAGCUCGUGUCCUGAGAUGUUGGGUUAAGUCCCGCAACGAGCGCAACCCUUGAUCUUAGUUGCCAUCAUUUAGUUGGGCACUCUAAGGUGACUGCCGGUGACAACCCGAAGAAAGUUGGGAA
rnacentral:rRNA from 1 species